rnacentral:rRNA from 1 species
GACGAACGCUGGCGGCGUGCUUAACACAUGCAAGUCGAACGAUGACGACCGAGCUUGCUCGGUCUGAUUAGUGGCGAACGGGUGAGUAACACGUGAGCAACCUGCCCUUCACUCUGGGAUAACCUCGGGAAAUCGGGGCUAAUACCGGAUAUGAGCUCCUGUCGCAUGGCGGGUGUUGGAAAGUUUUUCGGUGAAGGAUGGGCUCGCGGCCUAUCAGUUUGUUGGUGAGGUAGUGGCUCACCAAGGCGAUGACGGGUAGCCGGCCUGAGAGGGCGACCGGCCACACUGGGACUGAGACACGGCCCAGACUCCUACGGGAGGCAGCAGUGGGGAAUAUUGCACAAUGGGCGAAAGCCUGAUGCAGCGACGCCGCGUGAGGGAUGACGGCCUUCGGGUUGUAAACCUCUUUCAGCAGGGAAGAAGCGAAAGUGAAGGUACCUGCAGAAGAAGCGCCGGCUAACUACGUG